rnacentral:rRNA from 1 species
UACGGGGGGGGCAAGCGUUGUUCGGAAUUAUUGGGCGUAAAGAGCUCGUAGGCUGUUCGAUAAGUCGGGUGUGAAACCUCCAGGCUCAACCUGGAGACGCCACCCGAUACUGUCAUGACUAGAGUCCGGUAGGGGAGCGUGGAAUUCCUGGUGUAGCGGUGAAAUGCGCAGAUAUCAGGAGGAACACCAGCGGCGAAGGCGGCGCUCUGGGCCGGUACUGACGCUGAGGAGCGAAAGCGUGGGUAGCAAACAGG